rnacentral:snRNA from 1 species
UCACUCUGGUUUCCCUUCAAUUCACGUAUAAAUCUUUCGCCUUUUACUAAAGAUUUCCGUGGAGGGGAACAAUUGAUGAGUCUAUAACCAAAUUUUUCGAAGACCCGACUAACGUUGGGUCA